GGUUAAGCGACUAAGCGUACACGGUGGAUGCCUAGGCAGUCAGAGGCGAUGAAGGGCGUGCUAAUCUGCGAAAAGCGUCGGUAAGGUGAUAUGAACCGUUAUAACCGACGAUACCCGAAUGGGGAAACCCAGUGCAAUUCGUUGCACUAUUGCAUGGUGAAUACAUAGCCAUGCAAGGCGAACCGGGGGAACUGAAACAUCUAAGUACCCCGAGGAAAAGAAAUCAACCGAGAUUCCCCCAGUAGCGGCGAGCGAACGGGGAGGAGCCCAGAACCUGAAUCAGCGUAUGUGUUAGUGGAAGCGUCUGGAAAGUCGCACGGUACAGGGUGAUAGUCCCGUACACAAAAAUGCAUAUGUUGUGAGUUCGAUGAGUAGGGCGGGACACGUGACAUCCUGUCUGAAUAUGGGGGGACCAUCCUCCAAGGCUAAAUACUCCUGACUGACCGAUAGUGAACCAGUACCGUGAGGGAAAGGCGAAAAGAACCCCGGCGAGGGGAGUGAAACAGAACCUGAAACCGUGUACGUACAAGCAGUGGGAGCACCUUCGUGGUGUGACUGCGUACCUUUUGUAUAAUGGGUCAGCGACUUAUAUUUUGUAGCAAGGUUAACCGAAUAGGGGAGCCGUAGGGAAACCGAGUCUUAACUGGGCGAAUAGUUGCAAGGUAUAGACCCGAAACCCGGUGAUCUAGCCAUGGGCAGGUUGAAGGUUGGGUAACACUAACUGGAGGACCGAACCGACUAAUGUUGAAAAAUUAGCGGAUGACUUGUGGCUGGGGGUGAAAGGCCAAUCAAACCGGGAGAUAGCUGGUUCUCCCCGAAAGCUAUUUAGGUAGCGCCUCGUGAACUCAUCUUCGGGGGUAGAGCACUGUUUCGGCUAGGGGGUCAUCCCGACUUACCAAACCGAUGCAAACUCCGAAUACCGAAGAAUGUUAUCACGGGAGACACACGGCGGGUGCUAACGUCCGUCGUGAAGAGGGAAACAACCCAGACCGCCAGCUAAGGUCCCAAAGUCAUGGUUAAGUGGGAAACGAUGUGGGAAGGCACAGACAGCCAGGAUGUUGGCUUAGAAGCAGCCAUCAUUUAAAGAAAGCGUAAUAGCUCACUGGUCGAGUCGGCCUGCGCGGAAGAUGUAACGGGGCUAAACCAUGCACCGAAGCUGCGGCAGCGAACGUAUCACUUAAAACGCUUAACGUGACGGCAAAGCCGGCAUGUUCAAGCCACACUAAACGUUGAGUUGGCCGAUGUGCUGACAAACGAACAGGCGUUUUAAGGAUACGUUCGUUGGGUAGGGGAGCGUUCUGUAAGCCGUUGAAGGUGGCCUGUGAGGGUUGCUGGAGGUAUCAGAAGUGCGAAUGCUGACAUAAGUAACGAUAAUGCGGGUGAAAAACCCGCACGCCGGAAGACCAAGGGUUCCUGUCCAACGUUAAUCGGGGCAGGGUGAGUCGACCCCUAAGGCGAGGCUGAAAAGCGUAGUCGAUGGGAAACAGGUUAAUAUUCCUGUACUUGGUGUUACUGCGAAGGGGGACGGAGAAGGCUAGGCUAGCCGGGCGACGGUUGUCCCGGUUUAAGCAUGUAGGCGGAGUGACCAGGUAAAUCCGGUUGCUUAUCAACGCUGAGGUGUGAUGACGAUGCACUACGGUGCAGAAGUAGUUGAUGCCAUGCUUCCAGGAAAAGCCUCUAAGCAUCAGGUAACAUGAAAUCGUACCCCAAACCGACACAGGUGGUCAGGUAGAGAAUACUCAGGCGCUUGAGAGAACUCGGGUGAAGGAACUAGGCAAAAUGGUGCCGUAACUUCGGGAGAAGGCACGCUGGCAUUAGGUAAAGGGACUUGCUCCCGGCGCCGAAGCCAGUCGCAGAUACCAGCUGGCUGCAACUGUUUAAUAAAAACACAGCACUGUGCAAACACGAAAGUGGACGUAUACGGUGUGACGCCUGCCCGGUGCUGGAAGGUUAAUUGAUGGGGUCAGCCGCAAGGCGAAGCUCUUGAUCGAAGCCCCAGUAAACGGCGGCCGUAACUAUAACGGUCCUAAGGUAGCGAAAUUCCUUGUCGGGUAAGUUCCGACCUGCACGAAUGGCGUAAUGAUGGCCAGGCUGUCUCCACCCGAGACUCAGUGAAAUUGAACUCGCUGUGAAGAUGCAGUGUACCCGCGGCAAGACGGAAAGACCCCGUGAACCUUUACUAUAGCUUGACACUGAACAUUGAGCCUUGAUGUGUAGGAUAGGUGGGAGGCAUAGAAGUGUGGACGCCAGUCUGCAUGGAGCCAACCUUGAAAUACCACCCUUUAAUGUUUGAUGUUCUAACUCGGCCCCGUAAUCCGGGGUGAGGACAGUGUCUGGUGGGUAGUUUGACUGGGGCGGUCUCCUCCCAAAGAGUAACGGAGGAGCACGAAGGUUAGCUAAUCACGGUCGGACAUCGUGAGGUUAGUGCAAAGGCAUAAGCUAGCUUGACUGCGAGAGUGACGGCUCGAGCAGGUACGAAAGUAGGUCUUAGUGAUCCGGUGGUUCUGAAUGGAAGGGCCAUCGCUCAACGGAUAAAAGGUACUCCGGGGAUAACAGGCUGAUACCGCCCAAGAGUUCAUAUCGACGGCGGUGUUUGGCACCUCGAUGUCGGCUCAUCACAUCCUGGGGCUGAAGUAGGUCCCAAGGGUAUGGCUGUUCGCCAUUUAAAGUGGUACGCGAGCUGGGUUUAGAACGUCGUGAGACAGUUCGGUCCCUAUCUGCCGUGGGCGUUGGAAGAUUGAGAGGGGCUGCUCCUAGUACGAGAGGACCGGAGUGGACGAAUCACUGGUGUUCGGGUUGUCAUGCCAAUGGCAUUGCCCGGUAGCUAAAUUCGGAAGAGAUAACCGCUGAAAGCAUCUAAGCGGGAAACUUGCCUCGAGAUGAGUCUUCCCUGGGGCUUUAAGCCCCCUGAAGGAACGUUAAAGACGACGACGUUGAUAGGCUGGGUGUGUAAGUGCAGCGAUGCAUUGAGCUAACCAGUACUAAUGAACCGUGAGGCUUAACCUU
rnacentral:rRNA from 1 species